GACGAACGCUGGCGGCGUGCUUAACACAUGCAAGUCGAACGCUGAAGCCCUGGCUUUUGUCGGGUUGGAUGAGUGGCGAACGGGUGAGUAACACGUGAGUAACCUGCCCUCUUCUUUGGGAUAACGCCCGGAAACGGGUGCUAAUACUGGAUAUUCACUGGACUUCGCAUGGGGGUUGGUGGAAAGGUUUGUUCUGGUGGGGGAUGGGCUCGCGGCCUAUUGGCUUGUUGGUGGGGUGAUGGCCUACAAAGGCUUUGACUGGUAGCAGGCCUGAGAGGGUGACCCGGGACAUUGGGAAUGGGCUACGGCCCAGCGUCCGGCGGGAGGCAGCAGUGGUGAAUAUUGCACAAUGGGCUGAAGCCUGAUGCCGCGACGCCGCGUGAGGGACUGAGGCCUUCGGGUUGUAAACCUCUUGCACUCAUGGUCAAGCCGCAACUGUGGGUUGUGGUGAGGGUAGUGGGUAAAGAAGCGCCGGCUAACUACGUG
rnacentral:rRNA from 1 species